rnacentral:snoRNA from 1 species
ACAUUAAAACAGUGUUCCAUGCCAGAGCAAACAGUGGCUCUCAACCACUGACUGGCCUCUACCUGUAGGCUGCUGGCAGUGAAGUGGGCGUGCAGUG